UUCCAAACUGGUGGAACGUUAUUUCCAUUGUAGCUGGUGCCAAUAGGUUACGCUGAGAAGCGGCAAGAAAAGUGAAUGGCAAAAAAAAAAAGAAAAAAAGAAAUAAAAUAACAAAAUGACAGUUAUGAUUCAAACGAAGGGAAACAAAUUCAACAGGUUUUGCUUACACAUGCACAUUGAAAAAUAAUACUGUGGCUUUGAACAAUAGCAGAAAUCAACCUACAGUGAGACUCAAACCAUGAGCGACCAACAUCCUUGUGCUAAAUUAGGAAAGGAGGGAUGACAAAGGAGAGGGGCGGAGGGAGAGAAAGAGAAGGAGAGAGAGCAACUUUAAAACAAAGGACCGCCUGGGAGAUAAUGAGUGGUGUAAACCGGAUGAUUUAUUGGCGAGCGCAGUACGGUCACACUCUCAUACGUGGCCCCUUUUCUUUUCUUUUUUUUUUCCCCCCUCCUGUACUUUCCCUCUCCCUCUCUCUCUGUCUGCGUCUCUCCGUCUGGCCCAAUAGACUUAUUAAAACUCAGAAAAGAUUAAUCUUUGUGGAGCAAAAUGUUUUUGUUACAUUUCAUAAUGGAGUGGAAGGUGUAGGUAACUCAAAGGCAGUGGAAUAACACAGUCUUCAUAUGCAGAGUUAAGUGCUGUCUCCAACAGGGAAGGGGCCUUAUCAUUCAUAGUUUCAAUGACCUAUCCAUUUCAAAGCCGCUCGGUGACAAAGCUUCAGUCCUGAACAGUUUCUGAGCAACUAGAAUCCUGUUGAAUGGCGAUGUAAAAACUCUGAACCCCAGUUUUUUUUUUUUGUUUUUUUUUUUUUCCUCUUAACACAUGUGGUAACAAAGACUUUUUGACAAUACUGGACACUGCAAAAAAAAAA